rnacentral:rRNA from 1 species
UACAGAGGCCUCGAGCGUUAGGCGGAAUCACUGGGCUUAAAGCGUGUGUAGGCGGACUGGUAAGUACCUUGUGAAAUCCCACAGCUUAACUGUGGAACUGCUCGGUAUACUGCUGGUCUUGAGCCACUCAGGGGCUACCGGAACAAAUGGUGGAGCGGUGAAAUGCGUAGAUAUCAUUUGGAACGCCAAUGGUGAAAACAGGUAGCUGGGGGUGUGCUGACGCUGGAGAACACGAAAGCCAGGGGAGCAAACGGG